rnacentral:tRNA from 1 species
GGCGAUGUAGCUCAGUUGGUUAGAGCGAACGACUCAUAAUCGUUAGGUCCUGUGUUCGAGCCACAGCAUCGCCA